rnacentral:rRNA from 1 species
AUUGAACGCUGGCGGCAGGCCUAACACAUGCAAGUCGAGCGAGCGGCGGACGGGUGAGUAAUGUCUGGGAAACUGCCUGAUGGAGGGGGAUAACUACUGGAAACGGUAGCUAAUACCGCAUACCAUCAGAUGUGCCCAGAUGGGAUUAGCUAGUAGGUGGGGUAACGGCUCACCUAGGCGACGAUCCCUAGCUGGUCUGAGAGGAUGACCAGCCACAUUGGUAUGGAUACACGGUCCAGCCUCCUCGGGGAGGCAGCAGUGGGGAAUAUUGCACGAUGGGCGCAAGCCUGAUGCAGCCAUGCUGCGUGUGGAAAGAAUGCCUUCGGGUUGUAAUGCACUUUCAGCGGGGGGGCGUUACCCGCAGAAAAAGCGCCGGCUAACUCCUUGCCAGCAGCCGCGUAAAUAC